CUGACAUUAUCUCCCACCUUAUCAACAGUCCAUUGUUACCAAGGCAUUAACAACACUUACCAAACAAAGUCUAGAAGCCCUUUGGGCAGUCUUGCUAAGAACCAUCUUAGUCUAGACUGAUUUGGCCUUGAGGAUGACCACAUCUCCUCAGGACAGUUCUCCCUGGAGUCCUCCAUUGGCUAUUUUGGGAAAUGACGCACUUGGACAAAUGGUCUACCUAAAUGAAUGGUUCAGGUCUGAGCAGCAUGAGACACUGGCAGAUAGGAAUGCCUCCCUUAGCAGCAGGAAAUUCAGCACUUACCACGUCCCAUGCGGCAUGCUCUCCCAGAAUACUUUUAAUAUGAUAUCCCAGUGUAUUUAGCAUUUUAAAAUUACUCCAUUUGGUUAAAAUCAAUUAGAUUUUUUUGAGGAUCUUGGUCUUUCUCCAGCCCAGUUUAAACCAUAAUUUCCUGAAGACUAGGAUUAUCUCGCCAUGUUCUUUUUCACGUCCCCGUCGUUUCUAGUCAAGCCUCAAAACGUGAAGUCUGCACUGUGGGUUCAUAGCACCUCAGAGAUCAUCUCGAUUCUCCCCAUCCCACAGUGGGAAAUUGACCUCAGUGAACGUGGAGUAGAGUGUUUAGUAUCAGCCUUAAAAUAAGUGUUUUCUUUUUUAUUGUCUUUUCUUCCUGUCUGCUUUUCAGAGUAGAAGCAACAGUAAUUUAAACUUUUCUACUAUGUGACCUACACUCCACAGGUACCUUAUAAUAGCUGAGCCAGGGCUUAACAAAGGAAUUGGGUGUGUGUGGUAUUUGUGUGAGCAUGUGCUUGUGUGUGUGUGUGUGUGUGUGUGUGUCACAAUCUGAUUGCCGAUGUGGGAUGGGAGAUGGGAAAGAAUGUUUAGGCACUUGUGUAUUUAUAUCAAAGAGAUGGUAGGACCCACAAAAAAGAAUUCAUUUUUUGUGAUGUUAAUGUUAUAUUUUGGGGGGAGGUUUUGGGGGAGGAAGAUUUGCUUCUAAGGGGUGGACUCAUAUCUCUGUGUGGGGAGGCUCAGUUAUAACGACAACUGAAGUCUCUCCUGGCGUUGGCAUAUUUCAUUCUCGUAGGGAGAAAUGCAAUGCUCAUCCCUCCUCCCUCACACCCCCCACCACUUCCUUGGUGCCCUUCCAAGGUAGGGCCCUUGGUGCUGGCUGCUCAUUCCUCCCCCAGGGGUGGCUUUCCAAGGCCAAGAGGGCCAGAGAGGGCUGCUGCCAGAGAUGCUUCUGUUCUGGCUCCUUCUCACUCCCCUUCCUGUCUGCUGGGCCUUUUGGUGGCAGCACCUAGUCCUGACGGGGUUAGAGUACCACCCUGGAGCGGAUGGUGUGUGCACCAGCAAGCAUCCAGUCAAUUCAUGAGUUAUCCUCUGCGUGAGCUGGGCUGUGAUGUGCCGUUAUCUUCCUGCUCCCAUUGUACACUUCACACACCAGCUUUCUCUCCAGACAGUUGUUUGAUCACUAACUACUUCGAAUAUCAUGACCAUAGGCUCAUUUAUUUUUUUCUGUUUUAAAGGAUGGUGCUGGUGUGCACAGGGAGCAGCCACGUCAAUUUACACAUUUGCCAAGGUAUCCGAUUGUGAGCUGCCUAUCAAGGACAAUGAGAAUACAGUUUCCUCCAAAAAAAUCUUAGGCUGAUCUUGGAAGAAAGACCCCCUGGAUCAUCUAAAAAUAAAGUUUUCUAUUUAAAGAUGAAAAAACGGAAGCAAAACCAUUAAGUGCCUUCCCCAAGGUCUUAAAAGAAGUCACCAAGAAGGUGGUGUGGCUCAAGUCUCCUGACUCCAGUUUACUAUUUCCCACAAUAAUGUUGGAAAACCACAUUGGAACGGGAAGACUCAUUCCAAGUACUGCUGUCACACCAGCAAGCUUCAAAGGAAAACACUUGGUCCUGGAUUACUUCGCUGAGCUCAGAUAUGUUUUGCUGACACACAGAGUCUGGGCAGCAUCCAGCCCCCCGUUUACUCCCUGGUCUUUAAGUCUAGGUCAUUUCAGGACCAGGACAGUUUGGCACUGGGACGUGUUUCCCAGAAGUACUAAUAGUUCGAGAGAGGAGCAAGUGUCUUCACAUCUGCAGGUCUGGGUGCCGAACUUUCUACUGUCGAAGCCUGAGGUGAGAUGUCUGGCCGUGUUGCUAGUGCCGUCGCCCUCAAGAAGCCAAACAGGCUCUCAGAGUCUCUCAGGCCCUGCCCCGGACGUGGCCCCGCCCCAGAGCAUGCUGGGCAGGACCUCCCCAUAGAUCCCUCCCAUUGCCAAUGUAUUCCUCCAGAGGAUUCUGAGCUCUGCUUGGUGUUUCCAGCUGUGAUGAGACUCUCUCCUGGCUUUGAUGAAGCAAGCUGCCAUGUUGGAGAGGCCUACAUGACAAGGAACUGAAGGUUGCCUCCGGCCAACUCCAGCCAACAGCCAUCCAGGAAUUGAGGCUCUCAGUCCAACAGGCCUUGAGGAACUGCAUCCAGCCAGCAGCUAUAGAAGUGAGCGAAGAAGUGUGUAUUUCCCCAGUCAAGCCUUCAGCUGAGACCCCAGCCCCAGCUGCCACCUUAAUUGCAGCCUUGUGAGAGACCUUGGAGCAGAGAACCCAGAUUCUUCGGUGGGACCCACCCAGUUCCUGGACCCUGCCCUGGCCACUCCAGUGUCCACAAUCGCAAAACCCACCCAUACGCACACCUGCACUGACUGCUCACCUGUGAGAUACUCAGGAAUCAGCAACUUUUUCUAAAUGAAGGAUCUUCCCGAUGGCUGCCAUGAGCUCAUGAGCUUCAGGAGGCCCACAGCUCACGAGAGCUGCACUUUGAGCUGGGUCUCGGAGCGGUGCAAAGGUUGACGUGAACUUGGCUUUUUGCUGGGGACUUUCCUGCCCUGUGAUUUUUUUCUUGGAAUUAAUCCACUGAAAAAACUGCCUCAUUUUUUUUCUGAAGUAACUUUCAGGAGGAAACUGUUCAUUCUGUGACAGAUACGGGAAAGUGCCCUCUAAUUCUCUGUCCUCAAUAGAGUGGCUCUUCUUUCUGGCUUUAGACGUCCCAACUCCUGAAUCCUCGCUUCCACAUUCUCCUGCUCUGGAGUCCAGAGGUCUCACUGUCUUUGCAGCUGGUGGGAAAUUCCUAUCCUGGCAUUUCCAUGAGACAUGCUUAGAGGCCCAGGGUUCCCGCCAAUCCCCAUUGUCCUCCAAGUGGACUUGCAGCACCUGGGAAGCUCCCAUGUCCCCACUGGAGACGCUCUGGGACUGAGUCAGUGAGGAGUCGGAAGGCAAGCUAUCUGAAGUAAGGGAUAUGUCAGCGGGAGAGCCUUUAGGCUGGCUAUGUUCCCUGCUCUUCAAUUGAAACUUCAACUCGGUAAGGAGCUGUUUUUUAAUGUCUGAUGGCUUGCAAUCUUGGGGAACUGGUAUUUUUGGUGAGGGACAUUGACUGGUCAGGGUAGUUUCUACUUUGCUCACAUUGAUAUUUACCAUUUGGGAGCUUCCCAACUUGUUGGUUGUCCCGAUGUCACAAGAUUGUGAUGUAAGAACGCACAGCUCCUCAGCCUUGAAUAUCUCCCUGAAGUUCAUGGUGGACGUGGAAAAAUGUUUUCAAUUCUUCUCCACCAUCUUUUGGCCCUGAAUCAUGUCCUCUCUAUCACUGGAACUCACAUUCUCAUCCCUUGGCACAUGUCCAGCCCCAGCUUGCCUUGUGGGCACCUCUCGGCUGCAUCUGUUAUUGUCUAGUGCAGUCUUACUCUGACUCACUUUGUCUAUAAAGCUGUGUGUGAGGAUCUCUGAAGUCUGUCUGCCAUGCUCGAUUGACUGGAUGUCCUUGGCAAGCUCCUGGUCGCUAUCAGAGUGGGAUGGUUUUAGGGCCCCCUGUCCUUCGUUGCCCGCAGAUGAGGUAGCAGGGAGUGGAAGAUCCAGGAUGGGGACUGAAUUCGUUGUUUGCACCUUAUUUCCCUGAAAACUUUUAGAGCUUCCCUCAAGGGGCUUGGAAACCUCAAAUUCCUUUCCCUUACUUGGAGUCUUAUUUCGUUUGUCACCUAUGUCUUGACCCCCUCUUAUUACUUACAGAACAAUCAUUUUAUUCUAUUUUUCCCUUUUUCUCCUCCCUUCCAUUUUUAAAAUCAUGUUGUUUUUAGAAAACAAAAUUGGUAUUUUAUUUUUCCACCCUUGUAACCAUCUUUAUUUUACUUAGACAUCUACAACUUAAUGUAUUUCACGCUCACCAUCAUAAUGCUUUUUGAAUUUUGCCCCAGUUGACACUCAGCCAAUUUUUGAGUCCCAGUCUGUCUAAGUGGAGUUGCCUUUCCUCCAAACCCCUAUUGGAAGGGUGGGUAUGUGUGCAGUCCAUGGUGAGACCCCCAUAUAUCUGUAACCUGGUGCAUAGUCUGGGACUCACCUCUGGUUCAUGAGCUGCAGAUGUUCUGGGGGAGACCAACCAUGGCUCCACCAAGGCCG